ACCCGCCUCUCUCCUCCGCUGCCGCCGCCGCCGCCGCCGCCGUCCGAAUAUCGGAAGAUCGCCAGAGAGUUCAAUCAUAUUUCAUAUUCUAUAUAGAAGCUGCGAGUUCUCAUGAUCUGAUGACGACUGCUGCGGUUGAAACCGCAACAAAUUCAGAUGUUAACAGAGCAGAGGAGCUCAAAACAUUGGCUAAUGAGGCAUUUAAGCCAACAAAUUUUCUCAAUCCAUUGAUUUAUAUACUCAAGCUAUAGAGUUAAAUAGCCUAAAUGCUGUUUACUGGGCAAAUCGUGCAUUUGCACAUGCCAAACUUGAAGAAUAUGGUAGUUCUGUG